GAAAGAUGAAUCAAAGAAGGUAAUAAUCCUGUAGUCGAAAAUGUUGUCUCUCUUGAGUGGAUCCUGAGUACGACGGAGCACGUGAAAUUCCGUCGGAAUCUGGGAGGACCAUCUCCUAAGGCUAAAUACUCUCUAGUGACCGAUAGUGAACCAGUACCGUGAGGGAAAGGUGAAAAGCACCCCGGAAGGGGAGUGAAAUAGAACCUGAAACCGUGUGCUUACAAGUAGUCAGAGCCCGUUAAUGGGUGAUGGCGUGCCUUUUGUAGAAUGAACCGGCGAGUUACGAUUUGAUGCAAGGUUAAGCAGUAAAUGUGGAGCCGUAGCGAAAGCGAGUCUGAAUAGGGCGUUUAGUAUUUGGUCGUAGACCCGAAACCAGGUGAUCUACCCUUGGUCAGGUUGAAGUUCAGGUAACACUGAAUGGAGGACCGAACCGACUUACGUUGAAAAGUGAGCGGAUGAACUGAGGGUAGCGGAGAAAUUCCAAUCGAACCUGGAGAUAGCUGGUUCUCUCCGAAAUAGCUUUAGGGCUAGCCUCAAGUGAUGAUUAUUGGAGGUAGAGCACUGUUUGGACGAGGGGCCCCUCUCGGGUUACCGAAUUCAGACAAACUCCGAAUGCCAAUUAAUUUAACUUGGGAGUCAGAACAUGGGUGAUAAGGUCCGUGUUCGAAAGGGAAACAGCCCAGACCACCAGCUAAGGUCCCAAAAUAUAUGUUAAGUGGAAAAGGAUGUGGCGUUGCCCAGACAACUAGGAUGUUGGCUUAGAAGCAGCCAUCAUUUAAAGAGUGCGUAAUAGCUCACUAGUCGAGUGACACUGCGCCGAAAAUGUACCGGGGCUAAACAUAUUACCGAAGCUGUGGAUUGUCCUUUGGACAAUGGUAGGAGAGCGUUCUAAGGGCGUUGAAGCAUGAUCGUAAGGACAUGUGGAGCGCUUAGAAGUGAGAAUGCCGGUGUGAGUAGCGAAAGACGGGUGAGAAUCCCGUCCACCGAUUGACUAAGGUUUCCAGAGGAAGGCUCGUCCGCUCUGGGUUAGUCGGGUCCUAAGCUGAGGCCGACAGGCGUAGGCGAUGGAUAACAGGUUGAUAUUCCUGUACCACCUAUAAUCGUUUUAAUCGAUGGGGGGACGCAGUAGGAUAGGCGAAGCGUGCGAUUGGAUUGCACGUCUAAGCAGUAAGGCUGAGUAUUAGGCAAAUCCGGUACUC
rnacentral:rRNA from 1 species